rnacentral:rRNA from 1 species
AUCGAACGCUGGCGGCAUGCCUUACACAUGCAAGUCGAACGGCAGCACGGGAGCAAUCCUGGUGGCGAGUGGCGAACGGGUGGGUAAAGUAUCGGAACGUGCCCAGUCGUGGGGGAUAACGUAGCGAAAGUUACGCUAAUACCGCAUACGAUCUAUGAAUGAAAGCGGGGGAUCGCAAGACCUCGCGCGAUUGGAGCGGCCGAUAUCAGAUUAGGUAGUUGGUGGGGUAAAGGCUCACCAAGCCGACGAUCUGUAGCUGGUCUGAGAGGACGACCAGCCACACUGGGACUGAGACACGGCCCAGACUCCUACGGGAGGCAGCAGUGGGAAUUUUGGACAAUGGGCGAAAGCCUGAUCCAGCCAUGCCGCGUGCAGGAUGAAGGCCUUCGGGUUGUAAACUGCUUUUGUACGGAACGAAAAGGUUUGGCCUAAUAAGCUGAGCUCAUGACGGUACCGUAAGAAUAAGCACCGGCUAACUACGUGCCAGCCGCCGCUGUAA